CGGAGCCUUGGCUAGCGGGAGUGGAGCUCGGCGGAGCUGCUGCACAUUGGAGGCGCUGGGUAUCGAUCCCGCUGAUGGUUGGGUAUCGGGGCUUUGAUGGAUGGCUAGCGGAGCAUAGAUGGAUGUUAGCGGUGCUGGGAUGCCGCUGAUGCUGUCUUGCUGAAGAAACUUGGCGGUGCGACAAGAGGAAGCAAAGUUGCAAUUCUUGUUGGCGGUGUGACAAGGCAAGAAGCGGAGCUGGACAAAUCGUGUGGAGUUCGGCGGUGAUGGGUGAAGCUCGGUGAACCUCGGUCAGCGG
rnacentral:lncRNA from 1 species